AGUGAACGCUGGCGGUAGGCCUAACACAUGCAAGUCGAACGGCAGCACAGAGGAGCUUGCUCCUUGGGUGGCGAGUGGCGGACGGGUGAGGAAUACAUCGGAAUCUACUCUGUCGUGGGGGAUAACGUAGGGAAACUUACGCUAAUACCGCAUACGACCUACGGGUGAAAGCAGGGGACCUUCGGGCUUUGCGCGAUUGAAUGAGCCGAUGUCGGAUUAGCUAGUUGGCGGGGUAAAGGCCCACCAAGGCGACGAUCCGUAGCUGGCCUGAGAGGAUGAUCAGCCACACUGGAACUGAGACACGGUCCAGACUCCUACGGGAGGCAGCAGUGGGGAAUAUUGGGCAAUGGGCGCAAGCCUGAUCCAGCCAUACCGCGUGGGUGAAGAAGGCCUUCGGGUUGUAAAGCCCUUUUGUUGGGAAAGAAAUCCAGCUGGCUAAUACCCGGUUGGGAUGACGGUACCCAAAGAAUAAGCACCGGCUAACUUCGUGCCAGCAGCCGCAGUAA
rnacentral:rRNA from 1 species